CGUACACUCCUACGGGAGGCAGCAGUGGGGAAUAUUGCACAAUGGGCGCAAGCCUGAUGCAGCCAUGCCGCGUGUAUGAAGAAGGCCUUCGGGUUGUAAAGUACUUUCAGCGGGGAGGAAGGCGAUAAGGUUAAUAACCUUGUUGAUUGACGUUACCCGCAGAAGAAGCACCGGCUAACUCCGUGCCAGCAGCCGCGGUAAUACGGAGGGUGCAAGCGUUAAUCGGAAUUACUGGGCGUAAAGCGCACGCAGGCGGUCUGUCAAGUCGGAUGUGAAAUCCCCGGGCUCAACCUGGGAACUGCAUUCGAAACUGGCAGGCUAGAGUCUUGUAGAGGGGGGUAGAAUUCCAGGUGUAGCGGUGAAAUGCGUAGAGAUCUGGAGGAAUACCGGUGGCGAAGGCGGCCCCCUGGACAAAGACUGACGCUCAGGUGCGAAAGCGUGGGGAGCAAACAGGAUUAGAAACCCUGGUAGUCCCAUGA
rnacentral:rRNA from 1 species